AUGGUACCCCUGGUCGUCCAUGCCCUUCUUGAGCGGCACGUUGAGGGCGUGGUACCUGCCGGCCCCCUCGCCAACGUCGUCGAUGCUCCCGGUGCCGGGGAAGAACUGGCUUUCGUACUGGUGGAAGGACAGCGUCAUCACCUGGUUGGAGUCCACGAAGGCCUUCUCCACGCCGUCCCCGUGGUGCGCGUCGAUGUCCACGUACAGCACGCGCGGGAAGCGGCCGAGGAGCUGCUUGAUGGCCAGCACGAUGUCGUUGACGUAGCAGAAGCCGUUGGCGUGGCCCCGGCACGCGUGGUGCAUGCCGCCGGACCAGUUGAUGGCGACGUCGUGGUCGCCCCUGCAGAGCGCGCGCGCCGCGGCCAGCGACCCGCCGGCGUAGCUCAGGCAGUACCCCAUGAGGCCUUCGAUGGCGGGAUUGUCGUUCGUGUAGGUGCCGUCCCAGCGGCGCACGGGACCGAUGCCAUGCUCCUCGGCUGUCCGCCGGAGGUCGGCGUCGCUGAUGUACCCGGCGGGGGUGAGCCUACCGAGGAGGUCGACGUAUUUCUGGUCGUGGAACGCGAGGAGCUCCUCCGGGCUGGCCGGCCUGGUGCGGAGGCGAGUCAUGUGGUUGAGGAGGCCGUAGGAGGCGACGAGGCCGUGGGUCAUGGCGACGCGGCGGGGCACCAUGGAGUGUCCCUCGCCGUAGUCGACGUUGGAGAUGCCCGGGUCGUAGUAGUAGCACACGCGCCGCUUCCUGCCGUCGGGGCACGACGGCGACGGCAGCGAGUUGGCACCCAUAUCCAUGGCUGUGAUUCUUGA
rnacentral:rRNA from 1 species